rnacentral:rRNA from 1 species
AGUGAACGCUGGCGGUAGGCCUAACACAUGCAAGUCGAACGGCAGCACAGUAAGAGCUUGCUCUUACGGGUGGCGAGUGGCGGACGGGUGAGGAAUACAUCGGAAUCUACUUUUUCGUGGGGGAUAACGUAGGGAAACUUACGCUAAUACCGCAUACGACCUACGGGUGAAAGCAGGGGAUCUUCGGACCUUGCGCGAUUGAAUGAGCCGAUGUCGGAUUAGCUAGUUGGCGGGGUAAAGGCCCACCAAGGCGACGAUCCGUAGCUGGUCUGAGAGGAUGAUCAGCCACACUGGAGCUGAGACACGGCCCAGACUCCUACGGGAGGCAGCAGUGGGGAAUAUUGGCCAAUGGGCGCAAGCCUGAUCCAGCCAUACCGCGUGGGUGAAGAAGGCCUUCGGGUUGUAAAGCCCUUUUGUGGGGGAAGAAAAGCAGCAGGUUAAUACCCCGCUGUUCUGACGGUACCCAAAGAAUAAACACCGGCUAACUUCGU